UUUAGCAAAUUCUCUAUAGAGAAUUCAAAAAUCGAGCGUGAGGGCGGCGCGAGCGGUUGCGCGAAGAACUAGUAGCGAACUACUAGCGAAUCUGGCGGAAAAACAAUCAAAACCUCUUCUGACAGUUCCCACGCGAAGCAAUUUCCUCGAAUUAACUUGCGCAGUUCUUGUGGAAAAAUCGGGAAAAUAUUGAAGAAAGUCCCGUAAAACCCAGUGAAAAGGUGUGUAAAAACUCUUGAAUAUAUUUCUUUGUGCUGCAAAGUGAGAAAAAAUAGGUGUAUUUGUGAAAAAUUGCAUCAACGGCGACCAGCGAAAUUCUCUGGAGGUGUCAUUCCACAGUUUCCAGGUAUGAAACCGCAGCAAAAAUUGCUACGGGUCCACACCAGAACAUGCUAGAGCACCCUUCAUCGCUAAUCUCCGGAAGUGAACCCCCAUUGCCCAUUCAAAAAGAGCCACGAAUCUGGCGUCCUCCCCACUUCACUGGUGAAGACCGACUGAGCGAUAUCGUCACUUGAAGUUAGCUGUGGUUACAACACCUCUCAAAGUUACACCCCAACUGGACAAUGAUUGGUACUGUUGGCUUAGAAGAGUCUUUGUCGAGACGGGCUUUCUCCCCAACUCCUCUAGGCUCCACAGUCCUACUACAAUACAUUGGUACCACAUCUUUUGAUGGAAAGCAAUACGCACCACUAAUUAAGUGUGAUCGUUUCUUUCCUCAGAUGUCACGAUGAACAGCAUCUUUUUAUUUCAAGUGGUAACAGACCAUCAGAAUGGAUUGUAUGCAAUAUCAUACGGUAUAAGAGAUCCUGGUAAAAGGCAUAUGAAUAUAUCAUUUGUGUUUUGCUGAUUUGUGUUAUAGAAACAAAUUCUAUUAGAUGGACUUAAGCUUGAAAGGCAUUCAAUUGUUCAGAAUAAUUAUAAAAAGCAAUGUAUUUAUUAAAAUCUAUUUUUAAAAUAAAUUUACUGUCUAUUAGAAAGUCUCUUUUAUACCCUACUCAAACCUAAUUUUCAAGUUUUUGACAAAAUAUUUAAAUUCUGUGUCAUGCUGGAUCCACAUAAUGAUUCGUGCUUCAGAUUCGCCUAGGUUUUUGCAAUUUGACAAAACUUCUGGGUAAAUGUAAGUAUUUUGAUAAACAAACAAACUAUGAUUCUAUCUAUCGAUUAUAAUAUCACUGAUUUUGUACUUCGUUAGCAUUACAGUAAACGUAACACUUCAUGCUGAUAUUUAAACUUUGGUUAAAAAGCAAUGCCCUAUUUUUGUAAUUUCAUAUGCGUUCCAUAAUAAUUUAUCGCCACUUUAACCCUCUAACUGGUAAGACCUCUCGAGACGAUCUUCACAAAAAUCACAUUUACUGCGAUUACAAUUUAUUUAAAAGUGCUAUAAUGUCCUCGGUAUACUAACAUCUUUUGAAAGUUUGAUCUCAUUUUGACUUCGUUUAGUUGCUAUCCCCAGUUUUGUGUGACACGUCAGAGAAAAGCAACAAAAAAUAUUUGUACAGAACAAACUCAUUUCUAAUUCCAAGAAAAAUACCGGUUUAAAGUUAUCUGAGUAAAAUAAAUUUAUUUUUUACUUAACUCUUUCCGAACCACAACAUAUCCAGCGAACGAAUUUCAGUAAAACUCACUUUAUUGUAAGUCUUAGUGAUCAAAUAUGAUACUUUUGUAGAGAAAGAAUUUUGUCCGCCUCUGGGAAAUUGGAAAACUCAUGGGUACUCUCGUCCCCAAAAGAGCGAAAAGGAGACAAACUUCAAUUUUCCAAAAGCCAAUAAUAUCAAUUUUGUGAAUUGUUUUUGCGUGUUAAAUGACUCCUUUACAAUGUUGAUCACUAAAACAAGAAGAAUUAUUGACCAGUAUCUUGUGGGAUGUCCAGGAAGUGGUCAAGAAGACACCAAGUUUCUGCUUGCCAACAGAUUCCUCAAAAUAUUUCACAUAAUAACACUUUAAAACACAUUUCCUUCAACACGAAGUUAUUGUAGACAUAUUAAGCUUUCUCAAGAGCCAAAAAAACACUUCUUGGACAAACAGAAUUCACCAAAAUCCGGAAGAAUAGGAGAAACUUCCCCGAAAGCAAUCUGCCUCGCUUCCAAAUGUCAAAAUUAUCAGCCAUAUUGGCAAAAAAGUAGUUCCCGCUUGGAAUUUUGAUAAAAGGUUGGUGUCAAAAAGCAAAUGGCAGGCAUUGGCGGGAUAACCUUACAUUUGACCUCUAGAGUUUUGUGGACGAGAGUACCCAUAAAGUUUGAACAAGUUUUUUGAAAAUUUAAGAAAGAAAUAUUUUUCGAAUUUAUGCAAUCUGUAAUUGCUAGUUAUCAUACUUAUUGGCCCCGAGAGGUUUUUCCUUAUUCUGGUCUAGAAAUAUCAAAAAAGUCACAAUAUCUGCAAGGAAGCAGAAAAUCGAAAAUUCACGAUUUUUGACCAAAAAUAUCUAAGCUCAGGAGUUAAUUAGGAUCCUGCAAAAAAUAUCCUAGAUUUGGACAUCUUUAUAGUUUGUAAUUAUCCAGAAGAAUCAGAUUUUUAUCGAUUCUAGAUAGUCUAAAAAAAUUGUUGCUUCCAUGGGUACCCAUAGUCCCGAAGGAGACGAAAGAGUUAAAGAUAUGUCAUUCUACAUUGUAUAUUUUAUUUGAAAAAUUUUGAAAAAAGUAAAAAUGUGAAUUUUAAAAGCAAAAAGUUUCAUUUUUUUUAAAAUAUUUUCUCACCUAGCGUCUAAACUAAAA